rnacentral:rRNA from 1 species
UACGUAGGGUGCGAGCGUUGUUCGGAAUUACUGGGCGUAAAGGGCUCGUAGGCGGCCAACUAAGUCAGACGUGAAAUCCCUCAGCUUAACUGGGGAACUGCGUCUGAUACUGGAUGGCUUGGAUUCGGGAGAGGAAUGCGGAAUUCCAGGUGUAGCGGUGAAAUGCGUAGAUAUCAGGAGGAACACCGGUGGCGAAGGCGGUUCUCUGGGCCGUACCUGACGCUGAGGAGCGAAAGCAUGGGGAGCAAACAGG